rnacentral:rRNA from 1 species
CAGCAGCCACGGUAAUACAGAGGGUGCGAGCGUUAAUCGGAUUUACUGGGCGUAAAGCGCGCGUAGGUGGUUCGCCAAGUUGGAUGUGAAAUCCCCGGGCUCAACCUGGGAACUGCAUCCAAAACUGGCGAGCUAGAGUAUGGUAGAGGGUGGUGGAAUUUCCUGUGUAGCGGUGAAAUGCGUAGAUAUAGGAAGGAACAUCAGUGGCGAAGGCGACCACCUGGACUGAUACUGACACUGAGGUGCGAAAGCGUGGGGAGCAAACAGGAUUAGAUACCCGAGUAGUCCCUGUCUCUUAUAC